rnacentral:rRNA from 1 species
AUUUUCCGGUUGAUCCUGCCGGAGGUCACUGCUAUCGGGGUUCGAUUAAGCCAUGCGAGUCGAGAGGGUUCGGCCCUCGGCGUACUGCUCAGUAACACGUGGAUAACCUGACCUGAGGAAGGGGAUAAUCCCGGGAAACUGGGGAUAAUACCCUAUAGAUUACAGACGCUGGAAUGCCCUGUAAUCGAAAGUUCCGGCGCCUCAGGAUGGAUCUGCGGCCGAUUAGGUUGUUGUUGGGGUAAUGGCCCAACAAGCCAGUGAUCGGUACGGGUUGUGGGAGCAAGAGCCCGGAGUUGGAUUCUGAGACACGAAUCCAGGCCCUACGGGGCGCAGCAGGCGCGAAAACUUUACAAUGCGGGCAACCGUGAUAAGGGAACCUCGAGUGCCUGUAUAUGCAGGCUGUCCAGGUGUCUAAAACACACCUGAAGAAAGGGCCGGGCAAGACCGGUGCCAGCCGCCGCGGUAAUACCGGCGGCUCGAGUGGUGGCCACUUUUAUUGGGCUUAAAGCGUUCGUAGCUGGGUUGUUAAGUCUCUUGGGAAAUCUGGCAGCUUAACUGUCAGCCGUCUAAGGGAUACUGGCAAUCUUGGGACCGGGAGAGGUGAGGGGUACUUCGGGGGUAGGAGUGAAAUCCUGUAAUCCUCGAGGGACCACCUGUGGCGAAGGCGCCUCACCAGAACGGCUUCGACAGUGAGGGACGAAAGCUGGGGGAGCAAACCGGAUUAGAUACCCGGGUAGUCCCAGCCGUAAACGAUGUGCGUUAGGUGUAUCGACGACCACGAGUCGUCGAGGUGCCGAAGGGAAACCGUGAAACGUACCGCCUGGGAAGUACGGUCGCAAGGCUGAAACUUAAAGGAAUUGGCGGGGGAGCACCACAAUAGGUGGAGCCUGCGGUUUAAUUGGAUUCAACGCCGGGAAU